GAAGAAAGCGGGCGGCGUGCUUAACACAUGCAAGUCGAACGGAAAGGCCCUGCUUUUGUGGGGUGCUCGAGUGGCGAACGGGUGAGUAACACGUGAGUAACCUGCCCUUGACUUUGGGAUAACUUCAGGAAACUGGGGCUAAUACCGGAUAGGAGCUCCUGCUGCAUGGUGGGGGUUGGAAAGUUUCGGCGGUUGGGGAUGGACUCGCGGCUUAUCAGCUUGUUGGUGGGGUAGUGGCUUACCAAGGCUUUGACGGGUAGCCGGCCUGAGAGGGUGACCGGCCACAUUGGGACUGAGAUACGGCCCAGACUCCUACGGGAGGCAGCAGUGGGGAAUAUUGCACAAUGGGCGGAAGCCUGAUGCAGCAACGCCGCGUGCGGGAUGACGGCCUUCGGGUUGUAAACCGCUUUCGCCUGUGACGAAGCGUGAGUGACGGUAAUGGGUAAAGAAGCACCGGCUAACUACGUG
rnacentral:rRNA from 1 species